UGUGUUUUUGUUACCUUAGAAUGAGCCGUCUAUAUCUACAUAGGGAGCGGGUUCCCUCUCCACGGAGUGCGCCAUGUUGCACCGCCAUGUUUCAACAGUAGAAGAACGGACAACCCAAACUCGGUUAACUUUUCCUGCUUAGGGCCGAAGUCGAUAACACUUCUCGCUCUCGCUA